GACGAACGCUGGCGGCGUGCUUAACACAUGCAAGUCGAACGGAAAGGCCCUGCUUUUGUGGGGUGCUCGAGUGGCGAACGGGUGAGUAACACGUGAGUAACCUGCCCUUGACUUUGGGAUAACUUCAGGAAACUGGGGCUAAUACCGGAUAGGAGCUCCUGCUGCAUGGUGGGGGUUGGAAAGUUUCGGCGGUUGGGGAUGGACUCGCGGCUUAUCAGCUUGUUGGUGGGGUAGUGGCUUACCAAGGCAUUGACGGGUAGCCGGCCUGAGAGGGUGACCGGGCACAUGGGGACUGCGAUACGGCCCAGACUCCUACGGGAGGCAGCAGUGGGGAAUAUGGCCCAAUGGGCGGAAGCCUGAUGCAGCAACGCCGCGUGCGGGAUCACGGCCUUCGGGUUGUAAACCGUUUUCGCCUGUGACGAAGCGUGAGUGACGGUAAUGGGUAAAGAAGCACCGGCUAACUACGCG
rnacentral:rRNA from 1 species